rnacentral:lncRNA from 1 species
UGUUUCAUUUGACAGAAUUUGCAAAUUACAUUUUUCCCCCUCAGAAUAACUCACAGUGUGGAAAUGCUUCCAUAUGCUACAAGUUGUUCUCAUCAUUUGCUGAAGGGAAAACAAAAAGAAGAGAACCGUAGUUGAGUUUGUGACUUGCAGAAAGCAUCCAGCUAUAGCAAGUUCACACUUAGCGGUGGCCUUUCGUGGAUCCAGCGCCAGCCACUGGUGCCUCACUCCCUGCCAAAGCCUGCAGUCAUCACGACAAGAAUGUAGCAGCUUCCAGGUCCUGAGUGAACAAAAACCUCAAGUAAAUGAAAACGUGUCUCCUUCCUUUCAUGUCGGAAAAUGGCCAUGGUCCUUUGAGGCAAAGUGUAUGGUACCAAUAUAAGCCAUUUCAUAAACACCAUCCUAU